UGGGGUGACUGCGUACCUUUUGUAUAAUGGGUCAGCGACUUAUAUUCUGUAGCAAGGUUAACCGUAUAGGGGAGCCGGAGGGAAACCGAGUCUUAAUUGGGCGUUAAGUUGCAGGGUAUAGACCCGAAACCCGGUGAUCUAGCCAUGGGCAGGUUGAAGGUUGGGUAACACUAACUGGAGGACCGAACCGACUAAUGUUGAAAAAUUAGCGGAUGACCUGUGGCUGGGGGUGAAAGGCCAAUCAAACCGGGAGAUAGCUGGUUCUCCCCGAAAGCUAUUUAGGUAGCGCCUCGUGAAUUCAUCUCCGGGGGUAGAGCACUGUUUCGGCUAGGGGGCCAUCCCGGCUUACCAACCCGAUGCAAACUGCGAAUACCGGAGAAUGUUAUCACGGGAGACACACGGCGGGUGCUAACGUCCGUCGUGAAGAGGGAAACAACCCAGACCGCCAGCUAAGGUCCCAAAGUCAUGGUUAAGUGGGAAACGAUGUGGGAAGGCCCAGACAGCCAGGAUGUUGGCUUAGAAGCAGCCAUCAUUUAAAGAAAGCGUAAUAGCUCACUGGUCGAGUCGGCCUGCGCGGAAGAUGUAACGGGGCUAAACCAUGCACCGAAGCUGCGGCAGCGAACGUAUCACUUAAAGCGAUUCAGCGGGUUACGAUUGACGGAGCGAAGCGACGUCAAAGCGUAUACAAAGUCGAGUCGGUUUAAGGAUACGUUCGUUGGGUAGGGGAGCGUUCUGUAAGCCUGUGAAGGUGUGUCGUGAGGCAUGCUGGAGGUAUCAGAAGUGCGAAUGCUGACAUAAGUAACGAUAAAGCGGGUGAAAAGCCCGCUCGCCGGAAGACCAAGGGUUCCUGUCCAACGUUAAUCGGGGCAGGGUGAGUCGACCCCUAAGGCGAGGCCGAAAGGCGUAGUCGAUGGGAAACGGGUUAAUAUUCCCGUACUUGGUGUUACUGCGAAGGGGGGACGGAGAAGGCUAUGUUGGCCGGGCGACGGUUGUCCCGGUUUAAGCGUGUAGGUGUGUGUUCCAGGUAAAUCCGGUUCACUUUAACACUGAGGCGUGAUGACGAGGCACUACGGUGCUGAAGCAACAAAUGCCCUGCUUCCAGGAAAAGCCUCUAAGCAUCAGGUAACAUCAAAUCGUACCCCAAACCGACACAGGUGGUCAGGUAGAGAAUACCAAGGCGCUUGAGAGAACUCGGGUGAAGGAACUAGGCAAAAUGGUGCCGUAACUUCGGGAGAAGGCACGCUGACACGUAGGUGAAGUGAUUUACUCAUGGAGCUGAAGUCAGUCGAAGAUACCAGCUGGCUGCAACUGUUUAUUAAAAACACAGCACUGUGCAAACACGAAAGUGGACGUAUACGGUGUGACGCCUGCCCGGUGCCGGAAGGUUAAUUGAUGGGGUCAGCGCAAGCGAAGCUCCUGAUCGAAGCCCCGGUAAACGGCGGCCGUAACUAUAACGGUCCUAAGGUAGCGAAAUUCCUUGUCGGGUAAGUUCCGACCUGCACGAAUGGCGUAAUGAUGGCCAGGCUGUCUCCACCCGAGACUCAGUGAAAUUGAACUCGCUGUGAAGAUGCAGUGUACCCGCGGCAAGACGGAAAGACCCCGUGAACCUUUACUAUAGCUUGACACUGAACAUUGAGCCUUGAUGUGUAGGAUAGGUGGGAGGCUUUGAAGUGUGGACGCCAGUCUGCAUGGAGCCGACCUUGAAAUACCACCCUUUAAUGUUUGAUGUUCUAACGUGGACCCGU
rnacentral:rRNA from 1 species